GGGGNGGCUUACUGAAGAGGAGGAUAUUAUUGAAUGAAUGUAGAGUUGGUUGUCGCUGGCCCUUUCGGGGGUAUGUGCACGCCUUCUCUUUCAUCCACACACACCUGUGCACUUGUGAGACGGAGGGCUUUAAUUAGUCUUCCGUCUAUUCAACCACACAAACUCAUUGUAUUUAAACUGAAUGUAAUUGAUGUAACGCAUCAUUAGAACUAAGUUUCAACAACGGAUCUCUUGGCUCUCGCAUCGAUGAAGAACGCAGCGAAAUGCGAUAAGUAAUGUGAAUUGCAGAAUUCAGUGAAUCAUCGAAUCUUUGAACGCACCUUGCGCUCCUUGGUAUUCCUUGGAGCAUGCCUGUUUGAGUAUCAUGAAAUUCUCAAAGUAAAUCUUUUGUUAAUUCAACUGGUUUUGCUUUGGACUUGGAGGUCUUUGCAGAUUUCACGUCUGCUCCUCUUAAAUGCAUUAGCUGGAUCUCAGUAUAUGCUUGGUUCCCACUCGGCGUGAUAAGUAUCACUCGCUGAGGACACUGUAAAAGGUGGCCAGGAAAUACAGAUGAACCGCUUCUAAUAGUCUAUUAAGUUAGACAAUUAAUUUUAAGAUCUGAUCUCAAAUCAGGUAGGACUACCCGCUGAACUUAAGCAUACAUANGCCCGGAAGAAANGGCCA
rnacentral:rRNA from 1 species